rnacentral:rRNA from 1 species
AUUGAACGCUGGCGGAAUGCUUUACACAUGCAAGUCGAGCGGCAGCGCGGCCUUCGGGCUGGCGGCGAGCGGCGAACGGGUGAGUAAUGCAUCGGAACAUGCCCAGUCGUGGGGGAUAACACUUCGAAAGAAGUGCUAAUACCGCAUACGUCCUGGGGGGGAAAGCGGGGGAUCGCAAGACCUCGCGCGAUUGGAGUGGCCGAUGUCAGAUUAGCUAGUUGGUGGGGUAAAGGCCUACCAAGGCGACGAUCUGUAGCUGGUCUGAGAGGAUGAUCAGCCACACUGGGACUGAGACACGGCCCAGACUCCUACGGGAGGCAGCAGUGGGGAAUUUUGGACAAUGGGGGCAACCCUGAUCCAGCCAUUCCGCGUGAGUGAAGAAGGCCUUCGGGUUGUAAAGCUCUUUCGGCAGGAACGAAACGGUGGGCUCUAACAUAGUCCGCUAAUGACGGUACCUGAAGAAGAAGCACCGGCUAACUACGUG